rnacentral:rRNA from 1 species
GACGAACGCUGGCGGCGUGCCUAAUACAUGCAAGUAGAACGCUGAAGGAGGAGCUUGCUUCUCCGGAUGAGUUGCGAACGGGUGAGUAACGCGUAGGUAACCUGCCUGGUAGCGGGGGAUAACUAUUGGAAACGAUAGCUAAUACCGCAUAAGAGUAGAUGUCGCAUGACAUUUGCUUAAAAGGUGCAACUGCACCACUACCAGAUGGACCUGCGUUGUAUUAGCUAGUUGGUGAGGUAACGGCUCACCAAGGCAACGAUACAUAGCCGACCUGAGAGGGUGAUCGGCCACACUGGGACUGCGACACGGCCCAGACUCCUACGGGAGGCAGCAGUAGGGAAUCUUCGGCAAUGGACGGAAGUCUGACCGAGCAACGCCGCGUGAGUGAAGAAGGUUUUCGGAUCGUAAAGCUCUGUUGUAAGAGAAGAACGAGUGUGAGAGUGGAAAGUUCACACUGUGACGGUAUCUUACCAGAAAGGGACGGCUAACUACGUG